rnacentral:rRNA from 1 species
CCCUUAGAUGUUCUGGGCCGCACGCGUGCUACACUGAGUGGAUCAGCGGGUCAGGUUGCGCGAAAGUGUUUCCUAAUCUUUAAAUCCGCUCGUGAUGGGGAUUGACGGUUGCAAUUUUCCGUCAUGAACGAGGAAUACCUUGUAAGCGCAGGUCAUCAUCCCGCGCUGAAUACGUCCCUGCCCUUUGUACACACCGCCCGUCGCUCCUACCGAUUGAGUGGUCCGGUGAGGCUUUGGGAUCUGAGCGGAAGGAGCGUUUCGCUGUUUCUGCCCGGAAAACUCAGUCGAACCUUAUCAUUUAGAGGAAGGAGAAGUCGUAACA